UGGGGAAUAUUGCACAAUGGGCGCAAGCCUGAUGCAGCCAUGCCGCGUGUGUGAAGAAGGCCUUCGGGUUGUAAAGCACUUUCAGCGAGGAGGAAGGGUUCAGUGUUAAUAGCACUGUUCAUUGACGUUACUCGCAGAAGAAGCACCGGCUAACUCCGUGCCAGCAGCCGCGGUAAUACGGAGGGUGCAAGCGUUAAUCGGAAUUACUGGGCGUAAAGCGCACGCAGGCGGUUUGUUAAGUCAGAUGUGAAAUCCCCGCGCUUAACGUGGAACUGCAUUGA
rnacentral:rRNA from 1 species